ACUUCCACAUAAAAGAACUGUGCUAAAAUUGCAGAAUCCAGGUUCGCUUGGUUUAUGCAAUAAUGCUAGCAGAGUAUUGCGUGGAAGGAGAGCACUAUGCACUGUGCCAGAAAUGAGUUGUGGUCGAACCUCUUUCUUAAUGUUCGUUGACCUCUUGUCUCAAGGCCCAGUGCAACAAUU